UACGAAGGGGCUAGCGUUGCUCGAAAUCACUGGGCGUAAGGCGCGUAGGCGGCCUGAUCAGUCGGGGUGAAAGCCUGUGGCUCAACCACAGAAUGGCCUUCGAUACUGUCAGGCUUGAGACCGGAAGAGGUAAGUGGAACUGCGAGUGUAGAGGUGAAAUUCGUAGAUAUUCGCAAGAACACCAGUGGCGAAGGCGGCUUACUGGACCGAGAUUGACACUGAUGAGCGAAAGCCAGGGCAGCAACGGG
rnacentral:rRNA from 1 species